CUGACACAAAGAAGCAGGUGUGAGACCGGCCCCUUUCUCCCAUACCUUAGACAGGGCUCCAGGGACUGCUUCAGGGGAGAUGUCAGAGGGCAGCAGGGACCGGGAAGGGAGGAAGAAAGCAGAGUGACAGUGAGAGGUGGGAAAACUACAAGAGGAAUUGUUUGUACGCUUGGAUCUGGACUUUUAGAACUGGUCAGGACCUGACAGAUCCUCCAGCCCAGCUCUCCCGGCUCUCAAACACUGGCAUCAUUUAUAAUUCCCUGGAAAAUCACCAGCAGGUAAAUGAAGGAGAAAAGAAAAGAACAAAAUCCACCGGGAACCAGAGACUUCCAGGCUCCAAAGACAGGCAAUCUCCACCAGGAAACACAGGAGAAGCCCUGAAAAGUUAGUCUUCUGGAAGAGAAAUUUACAUCUACAAAGGAAAUCUCCAUUUGUAAGUGUGUCUUCUUCUGCACUAGGAAGAGAAGGAUGACUAAAUCAGAGAAGUCUCUUGUCAGAGAAAGCACGGACUUCAGUC
rnacentral:lncRNA from 1 species